ensembl:lncRNA
UUAGGAUUCCUCCUCUACCCGGACACACCUGCUAAGAUGGAGACCACAUCACGUGAGGCUUUCUGCUUCAGGCCUAUCCCAGACCAAGAUCCAGGCAAAGGAAGAGGAAACAGACGCGAGGACAGAGAAGUGAGAGGGAAUGAGCAAGAAGGCAACCGUGAUCACAUGUCAGCAGCAGCAAAAAACGAACAGGAAACAGCCCAGAUGCAGUCUCAGUAUCAGAAAGACUUCCCUCCCCCAUCCUCCUGCCACAGGAGGCGGACACCUGCUUUCCCGCAGCCUGACAACAUUGGCAUUAACCCUGCGUUCAGGAUCAACUUCAGCACGGUCCAAAGAGAGACUUACCCAGGCUGGCCCAUCGUGAAUGUCGGGUACGGUGGAAGGCAAAGACCAGCUAAGCAUGACUUCUAAGCGGCAGUGGAAAUCAUCUUGCAUGUUUGCAUACAUGCAUGAUUAAUAUUAAAUGUCAAAGUCAUAUUUAACAAAUGCUUGAAAUUUGUCUUGUCCCAGCAUGUAUUCCCAA